rnacentral:rRNA from 1 species
UACGUAGGUGGCAAGCGUUGUCCGGAUUUAUUGGGCGUAAAGGGCGCGCAGGCGGUUCGUUAAGUCCGAGGUGAAAUCUCCCGGCUCAACUGGGAGAGGUCUUCGGAUACUGGCGGACUGGAGGUGAGCAGAGGUGAGUGGAAUUCUCGGUGUAGUGGUGAAAUGCGUAGAUAUCGAGAGGAACACCAGUGGCGAAGGCGGCUCACUGGGCUCUACCUGACGCUGAGGCGCGAAAGCUAGGGGAGCAAACGGG